rnacentral:rRNA from 1 species
AUGGCGGCGUGGAGCUCGCGAGGACGCCGCCGUUGUGCCACGAAGGAUGGCGACACGGAGCUCGCCAGGACGACGCCCGUCAUCUUCGUCAUCAAACAGGCGCCAUGGAGGAUGGAGGUGUGGAGCUCCAAGGAUUCUGUCGCCGUGUCGCAAAGGAUGGCGAUAAGGAGCCCGCCUAGACGACGCCCAUCAUUAACAUCAUCACGCUGGUGCCGCGGUGGACGGAGGCGUGGAGCUCGCAGGACGACACCACCGGUGUCUCUACCUCAUCAAGACGGAGGCCAUGACCCGGAGCCCAUGAAGAUGACACACGCCCCCUGUGCUGCCCGCAACACGGAGCCCACGAUACGAAGAAGAUGGUGCUACGCGAUGACACGUCUUCACCGACCCUUACCACGAUCCCGCAAUGUGUUUCCUUUGUCUUGGUGGACAACCGAAUACGGCGUCCAGCCAAGACGAAGUGCACUCUUUAUGGCGUACAGGUCUCGGCAUACAGGCAGCAUGCUCCUUGUCUCAGCAGACCACCGAAUACGGCAUCUAGCUUAG